GACGAACGCUGGCGGCGUGCCUAAUACAUGCAAGUAGAACGCACAGGAUGCACCGUAGUUUACUACACCGUAUUCUGUGAGUUGCGAACGGGUGAGUAACGCGUAGGUAACCUGCCUGGUAGCGGGGGAUAACUAUUGGAAGCGAUAGCUAAUACCGCAUAAGAACAUUUACUGCAUGGUAGAUGUUUAAAAGGUGCAAAUGCAUCACUACCAGAUGGACCUGCGUUGUAUUAGCUAGUAGGUGAGGUAACGGCUCACCUAGGCGACGAUACAUAGCCGACCUGAGAGGGUGAUCGGCCACACUGGGACUGAGACACGGCCCAG
rnacentral:rRNA from 1 species